CAGGUAAGAUUUCCUGCACACUGGAGCUGAAUUGGACCUCUUCCAUCAGCAGCAUUGAAGAAAGAGCCUUUGGUGCCUUCCUUGGCAAUGCUCAGUGCUCUGGUUACCCUGGCCUUUUCCUUCAGAGCAACUUCUGUCCUUGAAGAAUAUGGUGGCAUUCCAAAGAAGACUUCCACUCAGCUUAACCACUCUGAACUAGCAUUUGGUUUGAAAGUGGAAUCUGAACAGGCUGCUCUGGAGCAUUUAGAGUUGCAUCCCACAGAUCCUCUGCACACAACUUGUCUGCACUGUUCGGAGUCUUUGAUCUUCACUGGAGAGCCCCCAGUGCCCUGAGAGCAUCACCAGGAGAUUUUUCACCAGCCAAGAGCCCACGGUGCUGGGAGAUGCUGGAAGAGGAGAGGGGGUAUCCCUGCUGUGGUGAGGUUUGGAGAAGAGAUUUUCUUUCUCUGUCACCCCAAUCACACAAUGACCAGGCAAAACCAAGUGACAGGGCAAGGCUUGGAAGGGAGGAAGAAGGGAAGGCACCAUAAAUUCUUCUUGUGGUUGGCCCGGGCACCAGAGUGUCCCAUUCAGAUUUUCUGAAAAAUCCCUUUGCCCAGGAUUUUUCUCCUGGGAAGAUGAGAAGCCUCAGAAAAAAAAAAAGAAAAACAGUUACUGUCUCAUUUGCUUCUCCUGUGUUGUGCUCCUGUGGAAUGUGUUUGGAGAUUGUUUACCCACAGGUGAUUGUUUCAUUGGUUUCAUGGGAAUUGUUUUUACUCUUUGGCCAAUCAGGGCCAAACUGUGUCAAGACUCUGGAAAGAAUAAUGAGUUUUUCAUUAUCUUUUCAGCAUUGUGUAAGUAUCCUUUCUGUAUUCUUUAGUAUAGUUUAGUAUAGCAUUCUUUAAUAUAAUAUAGUAUCAUAAAAUAAUAAAUGAACCUUCUGAGAACAUGGAGUCAGAUUCAUCAUUCCUUCCUGCCACGGGGGUCCCAGCAAAUACAAUACCAGAGAAGAACUGUCUCUGCAGACCUCUCACAUCCAAGCAGAGGUGAGAGUUGCUCAGGGAGAUCCCUUUCACUUCCAUAACAUGGUAGGAGUUUGGAAUUUAU